AAAUCAGCUCUUUUUAGAGCUACCAUAUACAUAUUUAACACAAUG
rfam:Dufourea novaeangliae contig398, whole genome shotgun sequence.